UUCACACAGUCAUCAAUGUUACACAUGUCAGGAAAUGUUGUGGAUAGGGAGAAAAUUUGUAGGUCCCUUCAAACCCUUCAAAGCACAAGCCCCAGUUAUCUACUUUUGGCAUCAUUAGAUGCUGCUAGAGCUCAACUUAGUGAAAACCCUGAAACAAUUUUUCAACAAAGCAAUGAAGUUGGCUACUGAAGCAAAAAUUCUCAUUAAAAAGAUCCCAGGC
rnacentral:misc_RNA from 1 species